rnacentral:lncRNA from 1 species
AGGAAGGAAGGAAGGAAGGAAGGAAGGAAGGAAGGGAGAGAGGAGGAAGCUUUUGGAAGAAACUCUUACCAUAUUUUUCAAAUGGGCGAGGAGAUCAAUGAUAACAUGGGGAAAUAUCCUUUGAAUCCCCCAGUUAGGAGUGAGGGCAGGGGAAAUGAAAGAGAUUAAACUCAACUUCAUUCAUUGUGACCCAUCCUUGUGAGCAGAGCUCAUAAGACAUUGAAGGGAGGAGAAGGCUAAAACUCGUGGCUCAAAUAGACCCCAGAGGAUUCUCGGUUAACAUUCAUUAGCCUGGAAAAGUGAGAGCUGGUUACACUGCACACAGUAAGCAGUGAAGUCAUGCACUGUCUCAAAAUCAUUUUUCCGUGGCAGGUGGACUUCCCAGGCAGCUGUGAAGAUCUGUUUUUGAAUCAUGUGAGCAGAAAAUGUCACGACCGCACGGUGCAUGGUUAAACGAACUACAUAUCAUGGAAUACUACUCAGCAAUUUAAAAAGAACAAACUAUUGGCCAGGCGCGGUGGCUCACACCUGUAAUCCCAGCACUUGGGAGGCCAAGGCAGGCAGAUCUCUUGAGGUCAGGAGUUCAAAAUCAGCCUGGCCAACAUGGUGAAACCCCGUCUCUACUAAAAUUACAAAAAUUAGCCAGGCAUGGUGGCGUGCACCUGUAGUCCCAGCUACUUGGGAGGCUGAGGCAGGAGAAUUGUUUGAGCCCAGGAGGUGAGGUUGCACUGAGCCAAGAUCACACCACUGCACUCCAGCCUGGGCAACAGAGGGAGACUCUGCCUCAAAAAAUAAUAAUAAAUAAAUAAAUAAAAAGAACAAACUAUUGAUAAAUGUAACAACUUGGAUGAAUUUCCUGGAAAUUACACUGACUGAAAAAAAAUCCAACCCCAAAGGUUAUAAACUGUGUGAUUCCAUUUAUAUAACAUUCUCAAAAUGACAAAAUUAUGAAAAUAAGGAACAGAUUAGUUGUUGCCAAAAGUCAGAAAUGGGCAGAGGGCUGGAGUUAAGGGUAGGUGUGGCUAUAAAAGGGAAACAUGAAGGAUUCAUGUGGUGAUAGAACUCAUCUUUAUUCUAAUUGUACUGAUUUCAAAAUCCUGGUUGUGACAUUUUACUUAAGUUUUGUAAGAUGUUACCACUGGGGGAAACUAGAUAAAGGGUACACCAAGUCUCUCUGUAUUAAUUCUUAAAAUUGCAUGUUAACGUACAAUAAGUAACCAGCAUUCCAUGGGGAGAAAAAUGUUAAUUCCAGGUUUGGGGCAAGAAAUAAAUAACAUCUAUUCUUGGAACAUCUUUUACCACAUAGCAAAGAAGUGGUCAAAUAUUACUAGGGUAAUGUCAAAAAGACACGGAGCCAAUUUGAAAAGGCUCCUACUGGCCAAAGAAGAAUGUAAAAAUCAAUAAGAAAAAUAACUGCAACAGAUUGAAAUAUAUUUGAUAUAUUUCAAUCUCUCAGUUCACAAUGAUACUUUUUUUAAAAGGUGUUGUUUAAGGAUACCAGGGAACCAACUUAUUUUGAAAACUGAUAGAAGACUCAAAUAUUUUUCCUGCUAUUUCUAUAUGAAUUAUAGCAUUGGACAACCAGAUAGAAGAUAAGGGGAAAAUUAUCUUUAUGGAAGUAUUGCAGCUAAUAAAUUUUAUAAGCUAGAUUAGAAUCUCAUACUUUUGAAAGCCCUAAUGAACUAAUAGAUAGCCAUUGAGCAUCAGAGUCUGCUAACAUCCCCCAAAAAUAGAUAACUAAUUAUUAAGUGACUUCUAAUGAAAGAAACCAACACCAGCUAUGAAUGAUGUUGCCAAGACAAAUCCAAUAUGAAUCUGAGCAUGCCUCGAGAUCCAACUAUCAAUUUAAAGCAAAUACAGGCCCAUGGGGUAGCCCUGCUCUGCAAGGAACAGUAAAAAAUAAUAAUAAAAUAAAAAUAAAUAAAAUAAAAUAAAUAAAGCAAAUACAAAGGACUAAGGACCAUGUUAAAUUAUACCUUAGAAAUGCAAUCAGAAGCAUUUCCACUAUGGGAAACCAUCAGCCAAACAAUCUAAUUUAUUCAAAAACUGGAAGAAAAGAAAAAGGAGAUAAAGGAGGCCUUAUAAAUUAAAAAAACCCUGGUUCAAUUAAACUAACUAUUUAAAAUGUUUUUUACAUAUGUGAGACAACUGGAAAUUGUCUCAUACAUGUAAAAUUCACCCACUGAUGGAUAUUUGAUGAUAUUAAAGAAUUAUUGUUGGCCAGGCACAGUGGCUUACGCCUGUAAUCCUAACACUUUGGGAGGCUGAGGCAGGCAGAUCACGAGGUCAGAAGUUUGAGACCAGCCUGGCCAAAAUGGCAAAAUCUGUCUCUACUAAAAAUACAAAAAUUAACAGGGCGUGGUGGCAGGUGCCUAUAAUCCCAGGUACUUGGGAGGCUGAUGCGGGAGGAUCGCUUGAAUGUGGGGGAUGGAGGUUGCAGUGAGCCGAAAUGGCAUCAUUGCACUCCAGCCUGGAUGAAAGAGUGAAACUCUGUCUCAAAAAAAAAGAAAAAAAUUAUUGUUAAGCUUUUAGGUGUAAUAAUGAUAUUGUUAUUAUGUUUUUUAAAGUGUUUUUAUCUUUUAGGAAUGUAUAUGGAGAUAGCUACAGAUGAAAAUGAUAUGAUGCUUGGGAUGGCUUCAAAAUUCUACAGGAGGGUUAAGUAGCCAGGA